GGACGGGCCUCGCUGGUUUCGUUAAGGAGAGCUGACAAGAAGAAGGUUGCGACAUGUUUUUUUAUCUGCAUUUAUGUAGCACAGGUAGGAGGACAGUGGAAUCAGCGCGAGCUGCUGUGUUUGGGGCCUCUGAUGUGCUGCCGCCGCCCGUAGUCAACUUGCUGCUGAAAGCCAAUGCCCAAAAAGCGUUUUUAGAAGGAGAAGGAUCAUCUAAAAAAUGGAUGUACUAAAGUGGAUUCCGUGGUUCAGCAAAGCUGAUGCCCUUGCUGGAUAUGCAUUCAUUGAUGGAUCUUACAUGAUGUCCUGGCUAGAUAGCUGAGAUUGAUUGUGCUUGAAGUGAAGAGUGAUGCCUUGAAGCUAGAUGUUAUCUGGUCUACAUCUAUUUUCCAGAUUAUCCCAAGCUAUUGCUUUUAUCCUCGAACUUGACUUAGCAUUAAUUCAGUUGGAAGAACAAAAUGGCCAGGGACAAACAAUAUAAAGGUAUUUAUUUUUCUUUUUCCACACUUAACUAUUUUUAGCUACAAUUGUUUGUUUUCAAAGGGGACAUUUAUGCUUCAGUGCAAAGCGUAUGUUAUGAAAAGAUUAUUUUUCCUUGCCUCUUUUGACUUUGCUCUUUAAGUUUUAGUUAACUCUUGCUGCUUCUAACGAGUGAUAUGCAACCUUCCUUAUGAAAUUAUGUCUUAAUUCCUUGAGGGUGUUCGUUCUUCCUCUAUUUGUGUGGCCGUGGAUAACUCAGAUCAAGCAACAUUUCAAUUUGAGGUUUCAGCACCAUAUACAGCUUCUUGUCGUCCACUUCUGAUGAAAGGUUUACAUCAUCCUAUAAUAUGAAUGAAACCCAAAAUGAGAUCACUUAGAGUUAGCACAUCUGGCUGGAGAACACAUUAACACACUACAAUAACUGAAGCAAGAAAUGCAACUUGGCAUGAAAUGUUUCAGCAAGAAGUUCAUCAAGUGUCUCUGGUAGUUGGCCACGAACUUUGCAUUGCCUUCUUCGGUGGACCCAUAA